UACGUAGGGGGCAAGCGUUGUCCGGAAUCAUUGGGCGUAAAGAGCGUGUAGGCGGCUCGGUAAGUCCGCUCUGAAAGCCCGGGGCUCAACCCCGGGAGGCGGGCGGAUACUGUCGGGCUAGAGUCCGGAAGAGGCGAGUGGAAUUCCUGGUGUAGCGGUGAAAUGCGCAGAUAUCAGGAGGAACACCAAUGGCGAAGGCAGCUCGCUGGGACGGUACUGACGCUGAGACGCGAAAGCGUGGGGAGCGAACCGG
rnacentral:rRNA from 1 species